rnacentral:misc_RNA from 1 species
GAUGAAGAACGUAGUGAAAUGCGAUAAGUAAUGUGAAUUGCAGAAUUCAGUGAAUCAUCGAAUCUUUGAACGCACAUUGCGCCCUCUGGUAUUCCGGGGGGCAUGCCUGUUCGAGCGUCAUUAUAACCACUCAAGCUCUCGCUUGGUAUUGGAGUUCGCGAUCUCGCGGCUCCUAAAAUCAGUGGCGGUGCCUGUCGGCUCUACGCGUAGUAAUACUCCUCGCGAUUGAGUCCGGUAGGUUUACUUGCCAGCAACCCCCAAUUUUUACAGGUUGACCUCGGAUCAGGUAGGGAUACCCGCUGAACUUAAGCAUAUCAAUAAGCGGAGGA